GAUGAACGCUGGCGGCGUGCCUAAUACAUGCAAGUAGAACGCUGAAGGAAGGAGCUUGCUCUUUCCGGAUGAGUUGCGAACGGGUGAGUAACGCGUAGGUAACCUGCCUGUUAGCGGGGGAUAACUAUGGGAAACGAUAGCUAAUACCGCAUAACAGUAGAUGUUGCAUGAUACAUACUUAAAAGGUGCAAUUGCACCACUACCAGAUGGACCUGCGUUGUAUUAGCUAGUUGGUUAGGUAACGGCUCAACAAAGCCAAGAUACAUAGCCGGCCUGGAAGGGUGAUCCGCCACACUGGGACUGAGACAACGCCCAAAAUUCUACCGGGGGGCACCGUAGGGGAACCUUGGCCAUGGAGGGAAGUCUUGACGAGGCAAGCCGCGGGGGUGGAGGAGGGUUUCGGGUCCGAAAGCUCUGUUUUAAGGGGAGAACGAAAGGUGGAGUGGAAAGUGCACGCUGUGACGGUACCUAAUCAGAAAGCGACGGCUAACUACGUG
rnacentral:rRNA from 1 species